GACAGAGGGUGCAAGCGUUGUUCGGAAUUAUUGGGCGUAAAGCGCGCGUAGGCGGUCCGUUAAGUCGGGUGUGAAAUCCCGGGGCUCAACCCCGGAAGUGCAUUCGAAACUAGCGGACUUGAGUCCCGGAGAGGGUGGCGGAAUUCCUGGUGUAGAGGUGAAAUUCGUAGAUAUCAGGAGGAACAUCCGUGGCGAAGGCGGCCAUCUGGACGGUGACUGACGCUGAGGUGCGAAAGCGUGGGGAGCAAAC
rnacentral:rRNA from 1 species